UUUAGUUACUCGUGAAAGGUACUAGUGACUGCACGUGACAUAUAAAUUAACUCAAAAUGUGCUUAACGUGUGUCUGCAGUCUUCUAUGCAAAAUCAUCAGUUUUAUUAUUUCCGUACUACUUAUUGUCGGUUUCAUCCUCCUCAUUUUAUGGUUGACGGGAAUAAUCUUUUCAUCAGGCGACUCAGGAACGUCUAAUUCAACUACACCGACUAUCCUACGGGAUACCUUAAAAUUGGGUAACGGAGCAUAAUGAACAAGGAAAAUAUGUAAUACUAUAUUUAAAUUAGUUAACUUAUUGUAGAAGUAAUUUAUUUUUAAGCGGUUGUAAAAUACUGUAAAAUAUGAUAAGCGUUAAGGGUUGUUGUUAUAUCAAUGAAGAUAUACUGACUAACUUUAAUUUACGCUGCUGAGUCGUCUAUAAAAUAUUAUAAAAAUGAUAUAGAAGUAUCUACAAUUAAUGAACACACAAAAAUGCCUUAAAUACAAUUUAUAUCACAAUAAUAAAUUAAUUGUGAAGAUGUUAUUAAUAUCAAGUAUUUCGUCGCUUAAUAUAUUUUAUAUAAAAUUAAAAAAAAUGAUUCAAUACUAUUUAUUCUAUAUCCCUCAUAGCAUUUUUCGAUUUUUUUUUUCCAAAUUUUUUCUUCCGACUCAUUUCAACUUAUUUUUAAACUGCGUAAAUUAUUACGAAUAAUAAAUUUCUU